rnacentral:rRNA from 1 species
AACUGCGAGUGAAGCGGCAAAAGCUCAAAUUUGAAAUCUGGCGUUUUGGAACGUCCGACUUGUAAUUUGGAGAGGCAUCUUUGGAGAUGGCGUUGUCCCAAGUUCCUUGGAACAGGACGUCGUAGAGGGUGAGAAUCCCGUAUGUGGACUGCUAUCCAUCUCCAUUUCUGGAUGUGAUCGACGAGUCGAGUUGUUUGGGAAUGCAGCUCAAAAUGGGUGGUAAAUGUCAUCUAAAGCUAAAUAUUGGCGAGAGACCGAUAGCGCACAAGUAGAGUGAUCGAAAGAUGAAAAGCACUUUGAAAAGAGAGUCAAAAAGUACGUGAAAUUGCUGAAAGGGAAGCGCUUGAGAUCAGGCGCGACUCUUUGAUAUCUUCCUGGGCUUUUGGCCGGGUAAACGAUAUCUUGGAUUCGAGCCAGCAUCGGUUUUUGCGGUGGGAUAAAAGGUUGGGGAAUGUAGCUUCCUUUGGGGAGUGUUAGAGCCCUGGCCAGAAUGCCACCAGUGAGGACCGAGGACCGCGCUUCGGCUAGGAUGCUGGCGUAAUGGUCUUAAGCGACCCGUCUUGAAACACGGACCAAGGAGUCUAACAUCUAUGCGAGUGUUCGGGUGGAAAACCCUUGCGCGCAAUGAAAGUGAAUGGAGGUGGGAACCCGCAAGGGUGCACCAUCGACCGAUCUUGACGUCUUCAGAAGGAUUUGAGUAAGAGCAUAGCUGUUGGGACCCGAAAGAUGGUGAACUAUGCCUGAAUAGGGUGAAGCCAGAGGAAACUCUGGUGGAGGCUCGCAGCGGUUCUGACGUGCAAAUCGAUCGUCAAAUUUGGG